rnacentral:tRNA from 1 species
UGUUAUGUGGCUUAGUUGGUUAAAGCGCCAGUGUAGCGAAUACUGAGUCGUGGGUUCGAGUCCGACCAGGACGU